rnacentral:rRNA from 1 species
UUUUUUCUUCAAGAAGAGUAGGGGAAACAGAUUAAAAGAAGAAGAAGAAUAGGGAAGGGUGGCGAGGGGGUAAGGUACCACCGGCGGGGAGUGAAGGUAAGGAAAGCAGGGGCGGCGGCCGCGCUCCGGAGUGGACGAGAGGGGUGACGAAGGAGAGGGGCCGUGCGUCAGCGUGCGGCGUAGGAGAGGGCGGUGUAGCAGCGGGUCGCGUAGGAGAGGGGGAGGGGUGCCGGAACGCGGCGGCGGAGGAGAGGGGUGGUAUUGGAGCGGAACGGCGAUUGUGGCAGCCGGAAGGGAUCUAGCUGAGACGGCAGCGGCAUGUGUACAGGGUCGCGUCUAGGUCUACGCUCGAUCUCCUCGCACGACCUGUGCUACGCCCUCGUCCGUAGAGCCUCGCCGGGCUCCAAGUCACGCAGAGCACGGGGACACUAUCAGCCGGAGCACGAACCGAGGGUGUAAGUUAGGCCCUUCCGCGAGCGUCGAGCGAAUGCACGAGCUGAUGAGGUCAAUGAACUACCUAAGUCCAAAGCCCCAUACAUCUCUUACACUACAAAUCUUUUUAGACCCGUUGUCGUCGUAAAGGUUCCACUGUUUAUACAAGAAUAAAACCGAACUCUGUAACUUCUCCCCUACAGACCGGUACUUCGGUGGAAUAACACUAGCGGUAACAUAUUACAGAAACAACCCCAUAGACGAAGAAAGUACGAACCUUUGUAACUACUCCCCUACAGACAGGUGUUUUAUACAUUUAUGGAGUCCUCCUCGUGCCCGUCUGCUCAAGGUCGCUUCUGUCGCCUCCGCUCUAACCUGCGAACGCCGUGCCGUUACAGCUCGGAUUCAGUUCGGUCUGACUUUCAUCUACUCCAUGGUCACAAGUAUCUGUACAACUUCCUACAGCAUAUACCUUUGUCAAUUGUUUUUAUGGACUACAUUUCGACUGAACAGUUUCUCGAAUUAACUUUGCUUCCACUGUUGGACACUUUGACCGUCCAAUUAACAUUUCGACUCGAAUUAACUUGGCUUCCACUGUUGCGGCACUUUGACUGUUCAAUUAACUUGGUUUUGGACCCUAACACAGUGUACUUUUUAGUGACCUCUAUCCUACAUAAACAUCGUGGUUGCUACGGGCGGAGAUUCAUCCAAAGCCUGAGGACAUCCUUAGAUUUAUCCUCAUCCUUAUCCUUAUCCUUAUCCUGGUCCUAAACCUGAGUACAUUCCUUUCGGUCGUGGUUGCUACGGGCGGAGAUUCAUCCAAAGCCUGAGGACAUCCUUAGAUUUAUCCUCAUCCUUAUCCUUAUCCUUAUCCUGGUCCUAAACCUGAGUACAUUCCUUUCGGUCGGUCGCCGCGACGGAGGCAUGCGUCACCCAGGGAGGUAGCUAUGCCCGUCCGUCGAAGCAAACAAACCGUUAAAUUUUUAUCUCUAUACCCGGCCGGCCGGCCGAGAACAAUCAAAACUCACAUGCAGACAAACAUGCAAGCUAAACGAGUUGG